AUAUAUAUAUAUAUAUAUAUAUAUAUAUAUAUAUAUAUAUAUAUAUAUAUAUAUACUAGUGAAUACUGGGCCAGUGCUCAAAUCAGAUGGCAUCAGCAGCUGCAAACUCAGAUCUAUCCUUGCCCUUCCUGAGGCCUGGCUUUGAUUACUGGGCCCCCCACCACGAGCCAACACAUGGCCAUGAGCGCAUACCAACUCAGUGCACAACCUCUGAGCAACCACUUGGAAACAAUCAAGAGAAAACAUAUGACCAAGCAGAGCUUUCCAACAACAUUUGGAAAUGGUCUAAGACACAAGGAUAAGCCAAGUCAAGCCCACGGCGGUCUUCCAUGAACCUAUUGUUUGUGACCGUCCCAUCUGCUCAGAUUCACCAGUAUCAAGCGCGGGAGCAGAAGAGUGGGCAUCCGCAGGGACCCCCGCUGUAAACAUCACAGAAGGGAUGCUUCAUUUGAGGCACUGACUCAAUACCCCUCUUCAACCAAAAAUGAAUUGCGCCUCAGAAAAUGGAGAUUUAAUUUUCUCAUGAUAAGAAAAAAAAUGUGCUUGCCAACUGGCUUCUUCUUUCUUCCAUCUUUUGAGUAACCAGUAUUUAAAGUAAUAUUUACAGUCAGUUGCUUGUUGUAUGAUGGGAAUCUCCAUACAUACUGCAGAUCCAAUUGUUUUUAAGUUCCUAAAACAUUUUCAGAUUCAAUAAACUUAUUUAAAUAGAUCUGUUUUGUUUCCCAAUAGUAUUUACCUUAAAAAAAUUUAAAUAAAUAAAAAAAAACAUGGAAAAUAAGUGAAUACAGUAUUCAUUUGCAUAGAUUUCAUGGCAUCUGAUCUUCAUGACCAGUGACACUGAUGACUGUAACACAACAACUAUAGCCUAUAAACCACACAAUAGACAUUCCAGUUUCUCAGCUGCAUGUCACCAGGCCUCGGCGUAACCAUUUCACUGGCUGUGACAGACUAAUAUGCGGCUCAAGCCUUCAAUAAAAAGGCGAUGACAGCCAUGGUAGGUGAAUGAAGAUUUGAAGAAAAGGGAGUGAGUUCAGCAGGUGUUCCUUUAGCUAUGAAUCAAUUUGAGACUCUAGUUACUAUUUCUGAUUCUAGCAAACUGUAUAUUCAUUAAUAAUCAAAUGUGAAAGGACAAAAUAUUUACUAUGACUAUUCUGUUUAGUGCACUGUCAAUUUUUUUUUUUUCUUUAAGUUUCUGGAGUAGGUUUUGAAGAAGAUACUAUUUCAUUCUUUCUCCCUUGUAUGUGUUGUUUGUCUCUUUUUGUAUUAUUAUUUGUGAAAUUUACUAGCAAUUUCUUAGUGAAAACUGUUUCAAAGUAAAUCCAUUUUUUUAAUUAUUA
rnacentral:lncRNA from 12 species